rnacentral:lncRNA from 1 species
ACGACCACCUCUACACAAUUCGGCAACGAUUUUCAUUGACUUUCAUCGGCAUGCGGAUGGAUGAAUCAACGUGUAUCGCAGGUGCGCCUUGCCGUACAUGUGUUCAUAGUACGGCUGAAGCCGCCUGCCAUAUAGCUGCAGUUACCAAAAUGCUUUCCCUAACUGUCGCCUCUCAUUUUCAGGUGAGUUGCACGCAGCGCUGGAUGUCGCUUCCGAUGAUCCUAAGACCGGCAUGCUGUUCGAUGAGUGCUUCGGCUCGGUGAAGCUCACCGGGUGGACUCGGGGAGCGACACUAACUUCAUGGCGCAAGACCAGAAGAACUUGCCGUGACUUGCUGAUGCGGUGCUAGCAUGGUUGUUUC